CUGUAGGAAAAUAUACUGCUGUCACAGGAUACUCAGCUUAGAAACUACUGAUGGUUCCUUCAAAGUCUAAUUUGUGAGUGGAGCACAAAUCCUGGCCUGCCAGCUUUCAUUACUGGAAUUCACUUUCUCGCCACCAAGUAACUUCUACUGAGUCACAAAAUAAAUCUGGAUUUCUCAACUUACUGAAAAUGAAUCUCUUUAGCCCCAGAAUGAAGUUAGAGGAAUGGUGUCUCAUGUAUUAUAAAUCUUCACCAUUCACUAGGCACUUACUAUGCAUCAGAAGUCGGG